rnacentral:tRNA from 1 species
GGUGCAGAAGCGAAGUCGCCCUUGCGGCACGUCUUUCAAGCGUGUGAUUAACGGGUUCAAGUCCCGUCUGCACUGCCA